rnacentral:rRNA from 1 species
AUCUGGUUGAUCCUGCCAGUAGUCAUACGUUGGUUUCAAAGAUUAAGCCAUGCAUGUGUAAGUAUAAAUAAUUUUACUUUGAAACUGCGAAUGGCUCAUUAUAUCAGUUAUAGUUUAUUAGAAAUAUUUUACUACUUGGAUAACCGUAGUAAUUCUAGGGCUAAUACAUGAGUAAAACCUCAACUUCGGAAGAGGUGUGUUUAUUAGUAUGAAAACCAUAUAUCUUCGGAUAUAAUAGUGAGUAAUAAUAACCUUUCAUAUCGUAUGUCGUAAGAUAACGAUAGUUCUUUCAAGUUUCUGCCCUAUCAGCUUUCGAUGGUAGUAUAUGGGACUACCAUGGCAGUAACGGGUAACGAAGAAUUUGGGUUCGAUUUCGGAGAGGGAGCCUGAGAGAUGGCUACCACAUCCAAGGAAGGCAGCAGGCGCGUAAAUUACCCAAUCCUGACAUAGGGAGGUAGUGACAAUAAAUCACAAUGCGGAACUUUUAGUUUUGCAAUUGGAUUGAGAACAAUGUACAAAUGUUAUCGAUAAACAAUUGGAGGGCAAGUCUGGUGCCAGCAGCCGCGGUAAUUCCCGCUCCAAUAACGUAUAUUAACGUUGUUGCAGUUAAAAAGCUC